rnacentral:lncRNA from 1 species
AGAUCCAUACAAACCUACCGAGAUCUCAGGUUCAGUGCUUGUACUGAGCAAGGGCGUCAGGAAACAGCUGGCCUGUCUCCUUUCUCUCCCCUCAGCCGUCCUGUCACUGUCCCCGGACAGCCUAUCCGUUCCAGGUUCUCUGCCCCACACUGAUUAAGUUCCAAGGUGAACUGCAAAGAUUUCUGUUUUUCUUUAACAAGAGGAAGGAUCUUGAUUAAUUAUGUAAUACUGUAUUUCCUGAAUAUGGGCACUGUCUUUUACAUAUCUAAGAAAAUAAAGCUAGAGAGAAUUCCAAUGCAGAGUGUAGGAAGCUCUGCUGAAGUCUGUUCUGAGGUGUCUCUUAGCUGAUGAAAGGAUUUUCCUCUGUUCUGGCUGAAGGCAUGGCAUUCUUCUAGACUUGCAUAUUCAUCACAUUCACCCAAGACUUCCUUUGCUGGUGCCGAUCGCAGUGUACAUGGAAGGCUCCUGUCUUUGGUGAGAGUUUACUCCAGGCUGUCUCGGCUGCCUCCUGCAGACUUUGUGACUGUUCCGAGGGCUUUAGCUCUGGAUUUCUGUGACUCUUUCAGACAGAUUCCUUUUAUCUCCAUUUUGCUC